UACGUAGGGGGCUAGCGUUGUCCGGAAUCAUUGGGCGUAAAGAGCGCGUAGGCGGCUGGAUAAGUCCGGUGUAAAAGUCAAAGGCUCAACCUUUGAAUGCCGCUGGAAACUAUCUGGCUAGAGUCCGGAAGGGGCGAGUGGAAUUCCUGGUGUAGCGGUGAAAUGCGCAGAUAUCAGGAGGAACACCAAUGGCGAAGGCAGCUCGCUGGGACGGUACUGACGCUGAGGCGCGAAAGCGUGGGGAGCGAACAGG
rnacentral:rRNA from 1 species